ACGCUCAAUAGAAUAAACACACUUGAGACAUCAAAGAAAUAUCAUAUUAAGAGAACUGUUCAGAAAAGCAAUUAGUCAACAAAUAGUGAAGACUGGCAGUCCAAAAUCAAGGUUGGUGUAUGGUGAAGCCUCUUCUCCUGGCUUUCAGAUGGCCAGCUUCUGUGUCCUUGCAUGGCUUUCUUUGGUGUGAAUGCCAUGGAAAGAGCGAGUCUGGUAUCUCUUUCUCUUCUUAUAAAAACACCAGUCUUAUCAGAUUAGGGCUCCCUAAUUACUGGAACUUAUAAAUGUUACCUUCUAAGGAAAAAGAGUCUUUGCAGAUAUAAUUAAAUUAAAGAUCUUUA
rnacentral:lncRNA from 1 species